rnacentral:tRNA from 1 species
GACGCGCCAGACUCAAAAUCUGGUAUGGGUAACCAUGUGCGAGUUCGAUUCUCGCUCCCGGCACCA